AUUGAACGCUGGCGGCAUGCUUUACACAUGCAAGUCGAACGGUAACAGGCCGCAAGGUGCUGACGAGUGGCGAACGGGUGAGUAAUGCAUCGGAACGUGCCCAGUCGUGGGGGAUAACGCAGCGAAAGCUGUGCUAAUACCGUAUACGAUCUAUGGAUGUAAGCGGGGGACCGUAAGGCCUCGCGCGAUUGGAGCGGCCGAUGUCAGAUUAGGUAGUGGGUGGGGUAAAGGCCCACCAAGCCAACGAUCUGUAGCUGGUCUGAGAGGACGACCAGCCACACUGGGACUGAGACACGGCCCAGACUCCUACGGGAGGCAGCAGUGGGGAAUUUUGGACAAUGGGCGCAAGCCUGAUCCAGCAAUGCCGCGUGCAGGAAGAAGGCCUUCGGGUUGUAAACUGCUUUUGUACGGAACGAAACGGUCUGGGUUAAUACCUCGGGCUAAUGACGGUACCGUAAGAAUAAGCACCGGCUAACUACGUGCCAGCCGCCGCGGUAACAC
rnacentral:rRNA from 1 species